UGCGUAGGGUGCAGGCGUUAAUCGGAAUUACUGGGCGUAAAGGGCGCGUAGGCGGUCAGCACAAGUCAGUUGUGAAAUCUCCGGGCUUAACUCGGAAAGGUCAACUGAUACUGUGCGACUAGAGUGCAGAAGGGGCAACUGGAAUUCUCGGUGUAGCGGUGAAAUGCGUAGAUAUCGAGAGGAACACCUGCGGCGAAGGCGGGUUGCUGGGCUGACACUGACGCUGAUGCGCGAAAGCCAGGGGAGCGAACGGG
rnacentral:rRNA from 1 species